rnacentral:rRNA from 1 species
CUGGCGGCGUGCCUAACACAUGCAAGUCGAACGGGAAUCUUCGGAUUCUAGUGGCGGACGGGUGAGUAACGCGUAAGAAUCUAACUUCAGGACGGGGACAACAGUUGGAAACGACUGCUAAUACCCGAUGUGCCGCAAGGUGAAAACUAAUUGGCCUGAAGAAGAGCUUGCGUCUGAUUAGCUAGUUGGUGGGGUAAGAGCCUACCAAGGCGACGAUCAGUAGCUGGUCUGAGAGGAUGAGCAGCCACACUGGGACUGAGACACGGCCCAGACUCCUACGGGAGGCAGCAGUGGGGAAUUUUCCGCAAUGGGCGAAAGCCUGACGGAGCAACGCCGCGUGAGGGAGGAAGGUCUUUGGAUUGUAAACCUCUUUUCUCAAGGAAGAAGUUCUGACGGUACUUGAGGAAUCAGCCUCGGCUAACUCCGUGCCAGCAGCCGCGGUAAUACGGGGGAGGCAAGCGUUAUCCGGAAUUAUUGGGCGUAAAGCGUCCGCAGGUGGUCAGCCAAGUCUGCCGUCAAAUCAGGUUGCUUAACGACCUAAAGGCGGUGGAAACUGGCAGACUAGAGAGCAGUAGGGGUAGCAGGAAUUCCCAGUGUAGCGGUGAAAUGCGUAGAGAUUGGGAAGAACAUCGGUGGCGAAAGCGUGCUACUGGGCUGUAUCUGACACUCAGGGACGAAAGCUAGGGGAGCGAAAGGGAUUAGAUACCCCUGUAGUCCUAGCCGUAAACGAUGGAUACUAGGCGUGGCUUGUAUCGACCCG